rnacentral:rRNA from 1 species
GUGUUGUGAAAUGUUGGGUUAAGUCCCGCAACGAGCGCAACCCUUAUCCUUUGUUGCCAGCGAUUAGGUCGGGAACUCAAAGGAGACUGCCAGUGAUAAACUGGAGGAAGGUGGGGAUGACGUCAAGUCAUCAUGGCCCUUACGACCAGGGCUACACACGUGCUACAAUGGCGCAUACAAAGAGAAGCGACCUCGCGAGAGCAAGCGGACCUCAUAAAGUGCGUCGUAGUCCGGAUUGGAGUCUGCAACUCGACUCCAUGAAGUCGGAAUCGCUAGUAAUCGUGGAUCAGAAUGCCACGGUGAAUACGUUCCCGGGCCUUGUACACACCGCCCGUCACACCAUGGGAGUGGGUUGCAAAAGAAGUAGGUAGCUUAACCUUCGGGAGGGCGCUUACCACUUUGUGAUUCAUGACUGGGGUGAAGUCGUAACAAGGUAACCGUAGGGGAACCUGCGGUUGGA